CUAACGUGGGCCCCUUACCGGGGUUGCGGACAGUGUCUGGUGGGUAGUUUGACUGGGGCGGUCUCCUCCUAAAGAGUAACGGAGGAGCACGAAGGUUGGCUAAUCCUGGUCGGACAUCAGGAGGUUAGUGCAAUGGCAUAAGCCAGCUUGACUGCGAGCGUGACGGCGCGAGCAGGUGCGAAAGCAGGUCAUAGUGAUCCGGUGGUUCUGAAUGGAAGGGCCAUCGCUCAACGGAUAAAAGGUACUCCGGGGAUAACAGGCUGAUACCGCCCAAGAGUUCAUAUCGACGGCGGUGUUUGGCACCUCGAUGUCGGCUCAUCACAUCCUGGGGCUGAAGUAGGUCCCAAGGGUAUGGCUGUUCGCCAUUUAAAGUGGUACGCGAGCUGGGUUUAGAACGUCGUGAGACAGUUCGGUCCCUAUCUGCCGUGGGCGCUGGAGAACUGAGGGGGGCUGCUCCUAGUACGAGAGGACCGGAGUGGACGCAUCACUGGUGUUCGGGUUGUCAUGCCAAUGGCACUGCCCGGUAGCUAAAUGCGGAAGAGAUAAGUGCUGAAAGCAUCUAAGCACGAAACUUGCCCCGAGAUGAGUUCUCCCUGACUCCUUGAGAGUCCUGAAGGAACGUUGAAGACGACGACGUUGAUAGGCCGGGUGUGUAAGCGCAGCGAUGCGUUGAGCUAACCGGUACUAAUGAACCGUGAGGCUUAACCUUACAACGCCGAAG
rnacentral:rRNA from 1 species